GAUGAACGCUGGCGGCGUGCCUAAUACAUGCAAGUCGAGCGAACAGACGAGGAGCUUGCUCCUCUGACGUUAGCGGCGGACGGGUGAGUAACACGUGGAUAACCUCCCUAUAAGACUGGGAUAACUUCGGGAAACCGGAGCUAAUACCGGAUAAUAUAUUGAACCGCAUGGUUCAAUAGUGAAAGACGGUUUUGCUGUCACUUAUAGAUGGAUCCGCGCCGCAUUAGCUAGUUGGUAAGGUAACGGCUUACCAAGGCGACGAUGCGUAGCCGACCUGAGCGGGUGAUCGGCCACACGGGAACUGAGACACGGUCCAGACUCCUACGGGAGGCAGCAGUAGGGAAUCUUCCGCAAUGGGCGAAAGCUUGACGGAGCAACGCCGCGUGAGUGAUGAAGGUCUUCGGAUCGUAAAACUCUGUUAUUAGGGAAGAACAAAUGUGUAAGUAACUAUGCACGUCUUGACGGUACCUAAUCAGAAAGCCACGGCUAACUACGUG
rnacentral:rRNA from 1 species